GGAUCCUACGGGGCGCAGCAGUAGGGAAUUUUCGUCAAUGGGCGCAAGCCUGAACGAGCAAUGCCGCGUGAACGAGGAAGGUCUUCGGAUCGUAAAGUUCUGUUGAAGGGGAAAAAGAGCGGAGAGAGGAAAUGAACUCCGAUUGAUAUUACCCUUCGAGGAAGUCACGGCUAACUACGUGCCAGCAGCCGCGGUAAUACGUAGGUGGCGAGCGUUAUCCGGAAUGAUUGGGCGUAAAGGGUGCGUAGGCGGAAUGCCAAGUCAGCGGUAAAAUCGCGGGGCUCAACCUCGCUCCGCCGUUGAAA
rnacentral:rRNA from 1 species